ACGGUCGGGGGCAUCAGUAUUCAAUUGUCAGAGGUGAAAUUCUUGGAUUUAUUGAAGACUAACUACUGCGAAAGCAUUUGCCAAGGACGUUUUCAUUAAUCAAGAACGAAAGUUAGGGGAUCGAAGAUGAUCAGAUACCGUCGUAGUCUUAACCAUAAACUAUGCCGACUAGGGAUCGGGUGUUGUUCUUUUUUUUGACUCACUCGGCACCUUACGAGAAAUCAAAGUUUUUGGGUUCUGGGGGGAGUAUGGUCGCAAGGCUGAAACUUAAAGGAAUUGACGGAAGGGCACCACCAGGAGUGGAGCCUGCGGCUUAAUUUGACUCAACACGGGGAAACUCACCAGGUCCAGACACAAUAAGGAUUGACAGAUUGAGAGCUCUUUCUUGAUUUUGUGGGUGGUGGUGCAUGGCCGUUCUUAGUUGGUGGAGUGAUUUGUCUGCUUAAUUGCGAUAACGAACGAGACCUUAACCUACUAAAUAGUACUGUUAGCUUUUUGCUGAUAUAGUUACUUCUUAGAGGGACUAUCGAUUUCAAGUCGAUGGAAGUUUGAGGCAAUAACAGGUCUGUGAUGCCCUUAGACGUUCUGGGCCGCACGCGCGCUACACUGACGGAGCCAACGAGUACUAUCCUUUGCCGAGAGGUAUGGGUAAUCUUGUGAAACUCCGUCGUGCUGGGGAUAGAGCAUUGCAAUUAUUGCUCUUCAACGAGGAAUUCCUAGUAAGCGUAAGUCAUCAGCUUGCGUUGAUUACGUCCCUGCCCUUUGUACACACCGCCCGUCGCUAGUACCGAUUGAAUGGCUUAGUGAGGCCUCAGGAUUGGUUUAAAGGAGGAGGCGACUCCACCUUGGAACUGAGAAUCUGGUCAAACUUGGUCAUUUAGAGGAACUAAAAGUCGUAACAAGGUUUCCGUAGGUGAACCUGCGGAAGGAUCA
rnacentral:rRNA from 1 species